CCUGAUUGAUUCUGUCAGCGCGAUAUGCUCAAGUAAAAGAUUAAGCCAUGCAUGCUUUGAUUCAUAAAUGAAAAUUGCGUACGGCUCAUUAGAGCAGAUAUCACCUUUCUCGGAAUCCUGAAAAGGAUAACUGCGGAAAUUCUGGAGCUAAUACAUGCGACUAUACUCCAACGCAAGGCGGGGUGCAAUUAUUAGAACAGACCAAACGUUUUCGGACGUUGUUUGUUGACUCUGAAUACCGUCGUUUACUGUCAGUUUCGACUGACUCUAUCCGAGAAGGGUGUCUGCCCUUUCAACUAGAUGGUAAUCUAUUGGACUACCAUGGUUGUUACGGGUAACGGAGAAUUAGGGUUCGACUCCGGAGAGGGAGCCUUAGAAACGGCUACCACGUCCAAGGAAGGCAGCAGGCGCGAAACUUAUCCACUGUUGAGUAUGAGAUAGUGACUAAAAAUAUAAAGACUCAUCCUUUUGGAUGAGUUAUUUCAAUGAGUUGAAUAUAAAUUAUUCUUCGAGUAGCAAGGAGAGGGCAAGUCUGGUGCCAGCAGCCGCGGUAAUUCCAGCUCUCCUAGUGUAUCUCGUUAUUGCUGCGGUUAAAAAGCUCGUAGUUGGAUCUAGGUUACGUGCCGCAGUUCGCAAUUUGCGUUAACUGUGGUCGUGACUUAUAAUUUGCUGGUUUGAGGUUGGGUUCGCCCUUCAACUGCCAGCAGGUUUACCUUGAAUAAAUCAGAGUGCUCAAUACAGGCGCUUGCUUGAAUAGCUCAUCAUGGAAUAAUGAAACAGGACUUCGGUUCUUUUUGUUGGUUCUAGAAUUGAUCUAAUGGUUAAGAGGGACAAACCGGGGGCAUUCGUAUCAUUACGCGAGAGGUGAAAUUCGUGGACCGUAGUGAGACGCCCAAUAGCGAAAGCAUUUGCCAAGAAUGUCUUCAUUAAUCAAGAACGAAAGUCAGAGGUUCGAAGGCGAUUAGAUACCGCCCUAGUUCUGACCGUAAACGAUGCCAUCUCGCGAUUCGGAGGGUUCAUGCCCUACCGAGGAGCUACCCGGAAACGAAAGUCUUUCGGUUCCGGGGGUAGUAUGGUUGCAAAGCUGAAACUUAAAGAAAUUGACGGAAGGGCACCACAAGGCGUGGAGCUUGCGGCUUAAUUUGACUCAACACGGGAAAACUCACCCGGUC
rnacentral:rRNA from 1 species